UACGUAGGGUGCAAGCGUUAAUCGGAAUUACUGGGCGUAAAGCGUGCGCAGGCGGUUGUGCAAGACCGAUGUGAAAUCCCCGGGCUUAACCUGGGAAUGGCAUUGGUGACUGUACGGCUAGAGUGUGUCAGAGGGGGGUGGAAUUCCGCGUGUAGCAGUGAAAUGCGUAGAGAUGCGGAGGAACACCGGUGGCGAAGGCGGCCAACUGGACGAAUACUGACGCUGAGGCGCGAAAGCUAGGGGAGCAAACGGG
rnacentral:rRNA from 1 species